UCAUUAAAUGGCCAAAUGGCCUAUGCAAUAAGAGGCCAGUGCCUCUUGUUUCAUUUUUUAGAACCACAGAGAGCCUCCCCUUCAUUUUUCCUCUUUUGGAUUUUCGUAGAAGAACUGCGAUAUACAAAGAUCCAACGGUCCAAUCUUAGAUCCGACUUCGGUAACGUAAUCCUUGAAGCCCGAUCUACGUUUUGACCAAACGUUUUGAGGCUUGGUAUUAUUUGGAGUUUGCAAAGAUUCCACAAACACCAAAUAUUGUUUGGAAAUUUUUGGGAUAGAGUCUGGAUUGGAGACUUCAAUUGGUUCUCCAAUGUAGAGUUCGAGUCUUAAGUCCAAUGAAGCCAAAUGAUGUUUCUUUGGCUGCAGGUACUCCGGUCGUAGUUGAUGACGUAGUAAAAGUGUACUUGAGAUAUUAUGAUCGAAGCUCGCCGCGACGGUUGUAAUUGUGGGACCAUGGGCGUCCUCUACUUGAUGGGUUUUGUUUAUGGCUUGUGACACCGGUGUCGCUUGUUAUUGUAUAGAGCCAUUUAUGUUAUGUAAUUAAUUUGAGGAAAUACUUAAAUAGAUAGAUGUAAUAUUGGCUCUUGAUUAUAAUUAAUUUA